UACUCCUUCGCAAUCGAAUUCUGCCCAGUCAGAUGGACAAUCACAUGGGCAAUGGGUCCGCUUGGGUAUGACUGUCACGGAAAUCAUCGUCAGUUUCUUCCAUACUGUCGCACCUACAACCCAGCAACUUGAGAUCAAGUCAUCAUCAAGCCAGGAUAGGCAAUGCAAAUUUUAUCUCCUCUUUAAUGUGAAGAACCGUAAUUUAAUUGCCCAGAAGAAACAGCCAGACCUCUUUUGAGGAUGUUUUUAAAGUACCCGAAAACAUGUAAAACACUAGCGCAGCCAGUAAAAACUGAAAAA
rnacentral:lncRNA from 1 species